ACUGCUGUUAAAAACUGAGACAUGCCAUUGUGAAAGCUUGAUAGAGAAAAAUAGCAACUGAUGGCCUUCUAGAAGCCUCCUGUGAACUCUUCAGGCAACUGAUUUCUGAGCAUGGACCAAGGCCAGAAGGGCUUUACAACUCCACAGAAUCUGCAUGUUUAGAGAGUGCAUAUCAGUUUUUAUUGAGAGGCAACAGCUUUUGGGUUUGCUAAUGUUCCCAUAAGAUGUGGGUCAGAUUCCCAGAGAUGCCCAAUACUGAUGCCAAAGAAAGUCGGGAGACUCGCGAGGGACUUAAAGAGACAGCACAACUUUUCCAGGCCCCGGGUUACACUGUGGUGAUGCCAGGAUAAUCAGACCAGCCUCUGGAGACCCUCCCCACUAGGCAACAGCUGUCCCUCAUCCUCCCAGCUCUGUUCCCAUCUGUGCCUGGGGAAGUGA
rnacentral:lncRNA from 1 species